GAGACUUUCAGGGGACUGCGUUUCUCUUUCGGUUUCACUUUUGGGCUUGCAUACAGACCACUGCUGUACCGGCUGGCUAGGCUGCUCUGAGUGGGAUAUUGGAAACCUACACCCCAUUUGGGACCGGCUGUGGGAUCCACCCGGCCUUCGGCCUAGGCGGGGAAAGUGCUCUCUCUCCACAGGUGCUCCCGGCUCCUAGCAAACCUGCUGCCCCACACAAGCGUGUUCCAGCGGCCAGGGAGCUGCUCAGAACAGUCUGCCCAGCUUGGAGGCAGUUUCUAGCUGCCUAGAGACACAGGUUGCUAGGUAUCCCUGGCUUGUGUUGAACUCAUGGAAAAUUCCUACUUUGGUCUCACAAGUUUUGGGAUUACAGACAUGAAUCACCACAUAGAAACUGUUUUUUUUUUGUUUUUUGUUUGUUUGUUUUUUUCUGAGACAGGGUCUCACUAUGUAAACCAGGUUGACCUUAAGCUGCUAGAGAUACAUCUGCCUCUGCCUCCCAUAUGCUGGGAUUUAAUUUUUAUCCUACCAUGAACGAUUGUUGACUAUUCUUAAGUGCUAUUAAAGAUAUAUAUGACUUGAACCCUUUACUCCUCAAGAUACUUUUAGUCAUGGUAUUUUACCAUAGCACAAGAAAGACUAACUAAUAGAGUUCUGUUGAUAUUUAGCUCAAAAGCAAUUGCUGAGGUCAAGAAACCUUAAGAAGAAUUUAACUAUGAGGAAGAAAUUGCUUUGAAAGGAUGUAAUUAUUAGUUACAAGGAGUUUGUCAAACUACAAACUUAUACAUAAAAUCUUUACAUUAUACUUGAAUUAGUAAAUGUUAAAGAAUUAUUUCUUUUAAAAUACUUAAUUAGUAAAUUAAAUGAAGUUUCAUUUGGUGGUUUAGAUCUCUAAAUUGUGGAACUCUGUACUAUUUGUAGAGUAAUAUUCUUUCCAACAUUAACAUAGCCCAAUCAAAGCACAUGUUUCAUAAUACCCUAAUAUUUUCCUUUCCUAAAAGCACAAGAUGUAUUAAUACUUGUAUUAUUGUCUAUCAGUAUAGUAUGUAUUGAAAAGACAUAAAAAUGAGACUAAAAUACCAUAGGUGGAAUCAGUUACUUGAUAUUUUUGCAAGUUAAUACAAUUUUAUAAGGAGAUCUUUUCCAUUUGCCUUUUUCCUAUCUUUUUCAUAUAUUUCGACAUUAUUAUAAAAGGAAAUGUUAAAAUAGUACAGAAAAGAAGAUGAAGGGCUUAUGGACAAUGAGGUGCAAAAGAGAGCAGUGAAAGGACUCAGAGGGUAAAAAUGACAAGCCAGAUGACCUAACAUCAAUUCUCUGGACACACAAGAUGGAGAAAGAUUUGACUUCCACAAGUUGUCUUCCCACCCCCAAGUCCAAGUUUGCACUGUGGCUUGUGCACUCAAACUCACAAAUAAAUAAGAAACUAAAUGAAGAAAUGUACUGAGCUCUGAUGAAGAUCCAGUGAGGAUGGUGUACCAAAAUCCCGAUGCCUCUAACUAGACCAAUGAUUCAUUGCAAAGGACAGUUGCCAGUCAAGCUAAUGGAAAAAGGGUGUACUAUAUGACACAUUAAAGUCUCCAAUGGGGUGUUGUUUUGUUC